GAGUAUAUGAUGGGAUAAACAGGAGGAGAGUCUCAAUUUAUGUGGAAGAGCCUUGAUCACAGAUCAAGGAAAACUGAAGCUAUGCUUGAACCAAUUUUCUAUGCAGGUAAACAAACAAACAAACAUAAAAGGAAAGAAGCUAAAAGCUAAUUUGGUGCAUUUAGUGAAAGUCAACUCCAUCACGAUUGCUAAAUCAUAGGAGGUAAAGAAUGACAAGACUUUAGGCUAGAAAGAAAACAAGAAGUCUUGCAUGGCUUGGUUAGAAGCAUGGAUUUCAUUCAGGGGGAAAAGGUUUGUAUGCCACAAGGAUCUUUCUGAUUGCAUUGUGAAGGCUGACUAGAGGGUAAUGAGACUGUGAGUAAGGAACCUUAGAAGACCCUUGGAAUUGUCCAGGGGAGCCAUGAUGGGGAUCUGAAAUAAGUUAAAUAUUGAUAAGGGAAGAAAUGAAUGGGGAGUUGGAAACAUCUUUGGGAAUCUGCAAGACUUGGUGACUGACUGAGUAUGGGAAGGGAAGAAUGAAAGUAAAAAAUGACUCCCAGGUGUCUAGAUUGAAAGACUAUGCAAGUAGUAGUGCCAACCCUUGGUUUGGGAAUAUUGAAAAGGACAAAAAGCUGAUGAAUGCAGUUUGGGGCAUGUUGAUUAUGAGCAUAUUUGGGAUGUUCAGGUAGAGAUGUCUGGAGAUAUGAAUUUGCCUCUCAGGAGCAAAUUCUGGCUGAAGAGAGAGGCUGAAAUAUUGUUCAGGUACACAUGUCCAUUGAAGCCUUGUAAUAACAUGCAAAAUGUUUGGAAUAUCUUAGCAAAGCUAGUACCCCUAUCUGUCUGUAAUGUAAAUCUAGAUUUUAACAUAUGAGGGUUUCUUAGAACAGCAGGAUUUUCAAUCUUGCAGAGAAGCUCAGAGAUGGCGCAGUUUCAAAACUUUGGAGGCUACGGUUUGAAACGAAUCCUCAGCUAACUCUGACUUCUC
rnacentral:lncRNA from 10 species